CCCCGCCCGGCUGGCCCCCGGCGACCGACGCCCCGCGGCCCUCGCCCUUCCCGCCCCCGGCGCUGCCCGCCCUCCACGGCUUGGCCCGCGCGCUGCUGUUCCCGGCCUACUGGGCCCUGGACCAGCUGCAGGGUGGCUGAGGAGGGCGGCGGGCGGCGGCGCGGCGCUGCUGCUGCUGCUGGUGGUCGGCCCGCCCCUGGCGCUGCCCGGCCUGCCGCUCUGGCUGGUGCCGCAGGUUUGGCGCCGCCCCUUCUGCUACCGCUCCCCUCCGCUGUGCUGGGCGCCGCCCGCGCUCUGGCGCCCGCCUGCCGAACCCAGGCGCUGCUUCGUCUUCCUCACCGCCAAUCUGUGCCUGCUCCCCGACGGGCAAGCGCGCUUCGGCAACCUACCGCACAGCCAGCGACCGGCCGAGGCCAUUGGCGCCGCGCUGCUGGGCGGCGCGCGGCCCGCGCUCUACAGGGCUACGGACUGCAGCCAGCCGUGGCCCAGGGCGCUGCGCGGGACGCUGGUGGCCUCGCUGCCCGUGGGUCUGGACUUUGUGUGCCUGCAGGAGGUAUUCGAUCUGCGCAGGGCUCGUCGCUUGGUGAAUCGCCUGGCGCCCAACCUGGGCCCGUUGCUGUACGACGUGGGCACGCUCGGCCUACAGCCCGGGCGGCACCUCAAGCUGCUGGACAGCGGGCUGCUGCUGGCCUCGCGCUACCCGCUGCUGCGCGCCACCUUCCGUUGCUUCCCCCACGCACGUGGCGAGGACGCGCUGGCCUCCAAGGGACUACCGUCCGCACAGGCGAGGCUGGGCAGCCUGGACGGGCGCCGCAUCGUGGGAUUCCUGCACUGCACGCAUUUGCAAGUACUGGCUGAGGACGGGCCCUUGCGCAGCAAACAGCUGACGCCGCUGCUGGACUGGGCCGAGAAGUUUGGGGCCGAGAAGUUUGAGGCCGACAGAGAACAAAGUGGAGAGGUCGUGGCUUUCAGCGUGCUCCUGGGCGACCUAAACUUCGAUAACUGCUCGAAAGGUCCAGCAGGAGAGGAGGGCGAGGAGGGGCGGAGCCAGGAGGCCCGGCCCCGCCCACCGCGCGCCCGCCUCUCUCUGCAGACCACCGGCUGGAGCAGGAGCACGAGCUUUUCCGCUGUUUCCAGGAUCCCUGCCGGCUGGGCACGCGCCAAAAGCAGCCCUGGGCCCUGGGGACCGCGCUGAGCACCUCCGUGCUCCACCAGUCCGUGGCCUCCUCCCCCAAGAUGCCGAGGAGGACCCUGGAGCAGGAGAAAGGGCGCCACCUCUACCUGGCCGGCCUUCCCGGCAGAAGCCGCCGAGCUAAGCCCUGGAGAGGUCGGCGCCUGGACUACAUCACGUACCGCGGAGUUCCCGGGUGGC
rnacentral:sRNA from 1 species